AAAAAGACAAACCCUGGUUUCCGUGCCCAACGUUUGACCGUCUGUCUUAUUUGAAAAAGUUAUGAAAAAAUUAAAAAGACAAGUCAUCCAUAAAAUAUUAAUCAUGUUUUAUCAUCUAACAACAAUGAAAAUACGAAUUAUAAAAAAAUUUCAUAUAAGACGGACAGUUAAAGUUGGACACGGAAACCCAGGGUUUGCCUUUUU
rnacentral:pre_miRNA from 1 species